AUUGAACGCUGGCGGAAUGCUUUACACAUGCAAGUCGAACGGCAGCACGGGGGCAACCCUGGUGGCGAGUGGCGAACGGGUGAGUAAUACAUCGGAACGUGCCCAGUCGUGGGGGAUAACGUAGCGAAAGCUACGCUAAUACCGCAUACGAUCUACGGAUGAAAGCGGGGGAUCGCAAGACCUCGCGCGAUUGGAGCGGCCGAUGGCAGAUUAGGUAGUUGGUGGGGUAAAGGCUCACCAAGCCUUCGAUCUGUAGCUGGUCUGAGAGGACGACCAGCCACACUGGGACUGAGACACGGCCCAGACUCCUACGGGAGGCAGCAGUGGGGAAUUUUGGACAAUGGGCGAAAGCCUGAUCCAGCCAUUCCGCGUGCAGGAUGAAGGCCCUCGGGUUGUAAACUGCUUUUGUACGGAACGAAACGGCCUUUUCUAAUACAGAGGGCUAAUGACGGUACUGUAAGAAUAAGCACCGGCUAACUACGUGCCAGCAGCCGCGGU
rnacentral:rRNA from 1 species